GCAAGGAAUCUUGCGCAAUGGGCGAAAGCCUGACGCAGCGACGCCGCGUGGGGGAUGAAGGCCUUAGGGUUGUAAACCCCUUUUCUCGGGGAAGAAUAAUGACGGUACUCGAGGAAUAAGUCACGGCUAACUACGUGCCAGCAGCCGCGGUAAUACGUAGGUGGCAAACGUUAUCCGGAUUUACUGGGCGUAAAGAGGGCGCGGGCGGCACCUUAAGUCGGGUGUGAAAUCUCCUGACUCAAUCAGGAUAGGUCAUCCGAUACUGGGGAGCUUGAGGGCAGCAGAGGGAGAUGGAAUUCCCGGUGUAGUGGUGAUAUGCGUAGAUAUCGGGAGGAACACCAGUGGCGAAGGCGGUCUCCUAGGCUGUUCCUGACGCUGAGGCCCGAAAGCGUGGGGAGCAAACCGGAUUAGAUACCCGAGUAGUCC
rnacentral:rRNA from 1 species